UCAUUUAAUUUCUUGUUAUCUCGUUAGGUUCUUGAAUCAUUCCACACCAACCUGCAGUACCUUAUUGACUCUGUUUAUAGUCCAUUCUUUGAUUUCACUCUUACUUACAAUGGACAUCCAGUUAUCUUUUUAUUUGGUGGUGGACUUACUGUUGACCUCUUCAAAGAUCUUCUGAAGCAACCACUGAAGCUGCCCGGAAAUCUGAAGAGUCCUAUUUGGAUUGGAAAUUAUUUAAAUACGGGAUCAUCAGCCUCUCUGAGGAGACAGUGGUCAGUUUUGCUGAAUGGAACGUUUGCUUGGGUCAGCCACUCACAUAACACAAAUACAUCGUUCUUACCUCAGUGGGAUACGUACACCCUUCCAAGUGAUGCUGCCUCGUACCAGAAAAAUGUAUCUGAAUUGGCUCUCACAAUGCUCCAAAAUCACUCCUGGUGUUGGUGGGCACUGUCUGUUAACCCGGGGGAGGACAACAGGGGCUGUGCGGGCUGGGGACAGACGCUCAAGUUUAUCCCGAGGGUAUGGUUUAAGACGAACACCUAUGAAAUUCAAUGGAGGUUUAACGUAGAAAGUUCCCCCGACGUCAUCCUGAUAGUGACAUUUAAUGACUUUAGUGAAGCCACCGUGAUCUUACCCACCAGGAAAUAUGGAUUCCAGGCCAUGAAGAGCACCGCAAAGUAUGCUAGUUUGUGGAAAGGGCAGCCGAAUUAUAUCUGUAUUUGGAAGCAACCAUGAAACUGAUGCUAGAUGGAUGUUUCAAUAAUGCUAGAAACUUCCUGAAAUUUGUAAGGGCGAGAAUCACCAAUAUCAAAGAGAA
rnacentral:misc_RNA from 1 species